rnacentral:misc_RNA from 1 species
CGCCACAACUUGGAAGUAGUGACCUACAGAUACGGGAAAAUAAAAGCAGUUCCGCCAUAUGAGAAUAGUAAAAUAUAUAUUCAAAUCCAUGUAACCAAAGUAUUAAAGCACAUAAUAAUUUCAUCACAACACAUAAGCAUAUUCAGCCAAAACUUGCCACUCAAAUCCAUUAAUCAGAUGCAAUUCCAGAUUCUUAUUGAUGAUUUAAACUAACAUCAAACAAUUAGUGGUUUGAAAGUUAUCUUUUAUUUUAAACAUCAAUUUUAAGAUAUGGCUAAUAGAUCAAUGUCAAUAAAGAGCCCAGAACAUGCAGCUUUCUUCCCUUAUCCUGGGUUUAUUUCUUUUAGCAACUAUUAUUGGGACAAAAACAAAAAACCCAAUGAGGCUGGAUAUUUCCUAGUCUGCUAAGUACCACAUGUACUGUACUUAUUUGGUAGCCAUUUUACUUCAACUUGUGUUCAUGACUUCAUAUCCAAUGUGGCAUGCAUUUAGGUGUCUACCUUGUUGAGGUAGGAUGCUUCAUGCACUGGGUCACCCUUUACCUUGUUGAGGUGGGUUAUUAGAUAGAUCUAGGAAGGAAGUGCACAUAUGGAGCAAGUAUACAACAUUCCAACUAUUUCCAUAACUAAAACCAGUCUAUCCAGAAUCCAG